rnacentral:rRNA from 1 species
GAUGAACGCUGGCGGCGUGCCUAAUACAUGCAAGUCGAGCGAACAGACGAGAAGCUUGCUCCUCUGACGUUAGCGGCGGACGGGUGAGUAACACGUGGAUAACCUACCUAUAAGACUGGGAUAACUUCGGGAAACCGGAGCUAAUACCGGAUAAUAUAUUGAACCGCAUGGUUCAAUAGUGAAAGACGGUUUUGCUGUCACUUAUAGAUGGAUCCGCGCCGCAUUAGCUAGUUGGUAAGGUAACGGCUUACCAAGGCAACGAUGCGUAGCCGACCUGAGAGGGUGAUCGGCCACACUGGAACUGAGACACGGUCCAGACUCCUACGGGAGGCAGCAGUAGGGAAUCUUCCGCAAUGGGCGAAAGCCUGACGGAGCAACGCCGCGUGAGUGAUGAAGGUCUUCGGAUCGUAAAACUCUGUUAUUAGGGAAGAACAUAUGUGUAAGUAACUGUGCACGUCUUGACGGUACCUAAUCAGAAAGCCACGGCUAACUACGUG